UUCCCAGGGGAGCGGCGGCCGCGCAAAUUACCCAAUCCUAGAUCGGGGAGGUAGUGACGAAAAAUAACAAUGCCGCAGUCGAAUAGACUCGGCAAUUGGAAUGAGUACAAUCUAAAUCCUUUAACGAGGAACAAUUGGAGGGCAAGUUCUGGUGCCAGCAGCCGCGGUAAUUCCAGCUCGAAUAGCGUAUAUUAAAGUUGUUGCAGUUAAAAAGCUCGUAGUUGGAUAUCAGGAGAUGAUUCACGGACUUCUUAAUGGAGCAACCGUGUUUUCGCUCCUCUUUGUACCGUAUCAUCGUCGAUGCACUUUAUUGUGUGUCACGUUUGAACGGCCUUUUUACUUUGAGAAAAUUAGCGUGCUUAACGCAGGCGUUACAGCUUGUAUAAAGUUGCAUGGAAUAAUGAAAUAAGACCUCGGUUCUGUUUUGUUGGUUUCCGGAAGCUGAGGUAAUGAUUAAUAGGGACAGACGGGGGCAUUCGUAUUGUGGUGUUAGAGGUGAAAUUCUUGGAUCACCGCCAGACGAACAACUGCGAAAGCAUUUGCCAAGAAUGUUUUCAUUAAUCAAGAACGAAAGUUAGAGGUUCGAAGACGAUUAGAUACCGUCCUAGUUCUAACUAUAAACUAUGCCAACUGGGGAUCCGUCGAUUGCCAUUUGUAGGCUCGGCGGGCACCCUACGGGAAACCAAAGUGAACAGGUUCCGGGGGGAGUAUGGUUGCAAAAUCGAAACUUAAAGGAAUUGACGGAGGGGCACACCAGAAGUGGAGCCUGCGGCUCAAUUUGACUCAACGCACGAAAACUUACCCGGCCCGAACACCGUGAGGAUUGUCAGAUUGACAGCUCCCUCUUGAUGAGUGGGUGGUGGCGCACGCCGUCUCUUUUGGGGAAAAAA
rnacentral:rRNA from 1 species